rnacentral:rRNA from 1 species
UACGUAGGGGGCAAGCGUUGUCCGGAAUUAUUGGGCGUAAAGAGCGUGUAGGCGGCCAGAUAAGUCCGCUGUGAAAUCUCGAGGCUCAACUUCGAGCUGUCGGUGGAAACUAUCUGGCUAGAGUCCGGAAGAGGAGAAUGGAAUUCCUGGUGUAGCGGUGAAAUGCGCAGAUAUCAGGAAGAACACCCGUGGCGAAGGCGGCGACCUAGGACAAUACUGACGCUGAGGUGCGAAAGCGUGGGGAGCAAACAGG